CCUACGGGUGGCUGCAGUGGGGAAUAUUGCACAAUGGGGGAAACCCUGAUGCAGCAACGCCGCGUGAAGGAAGACGGUUUUCGGAGUGUAAACUUCUGUUCUCAGUGAAGAAUAAUGACGGUCGCUCAGGAGCAAGCCACGGCUAACUACGUGCCAGCAGCCGCGGUAAUACGUAGGUGGCAAGCGUUGCCCGGAAUUACGGGGUGUAAAGGGAGCGCAGGCGGGAAGCCAAGUCAGCUGUGAAAACUACGGGCUUAACUUGGAGACUGCAGUUGAAACUGGUUUUCUUGAGUGAAGUAGAGGUAGGCGGAAUGCCGGGUGUAGCGGUGAAAUGCGUAGAUAUUCGGAGGAACACCGGUGGCGAAGGCGGCCUACUGGGCUUUAACUGACGCUGAGGCUCGAAAGUGUGGGGAGCAAACAGGAUUAGAUACCCGAGUAGUC
rnacentral:rRNA from 1 species